rnacentral:rRNA from 1 species
GUGAACGCUGGCGGCGUGCUUAACACAUGCAAGUCGAACGGUAACAGGAAGUAGCUUGCUACUUUGCUGACGAGUGGCGCACGGGUGAGUAAACUAUAGUUAAUGUGCCUCGAAGACUGGGAUAGCCACUGGAAACGGUGAUUAAUACUAGAUACACCUCUUUAGCUCAAGCUAGAGAGGGAAACGUUUUUUCGCUUCGAAAUCAGACUAUAUCCUAUCAGUUAGUUGGUGAGGUAAUGGCUCACCAAGGCAAUGACGGGUAGCGGUUCUGAGAGGAUGAUCCGCCACACUGGUACUGAGACACGGACCAGACUCCUACGGGAGGCAGCAGUGAGGAAUAUUGCACAAUGGGGGGAACCCUGAUGCAGCAACGCCGCGUGGAGGAUGACGCAUUUCGGUGUGUAAACUACUGUCGGCGGAGACAAACACAAUGAUUGUACCCGCAAAGGAAGCAUCGGCUAACUACGU